rnacentral:misc_RNA from 1 species
GAUGAAGAACGCAGCGAAAUGCGAUAAGUAAUGUGAAUUGCAGAAUUCAGUGAAUCAUCGAAUCUUUGAACGCGCAUUGCGGCCGCCAGUAUUCUGGCGGGCAUGCCUGUUCGAGCGUCAUUUCAACCAUCAAGCCCCCGGCUUGUGUUGGGGACCUGCGGCUGCCGCAGGCCCUGAAAACCAGUGGCGGGCUCGCUGUCACACCGAGCGUAGUAGAUUUUCAUCUCGCUCAGGGCGUGCUGCGGGUUCCGGCCGUAAAAAGCCUUAUUUACCCAAGGUUGACCUCGGAUCAGGUAGGAAGACCCGCUGAACUUAAGCAUAUCAAUAAGCGGAGGA